rnacentral:rRNA from 1 species
UACAGAGGGUGCAAGCGUUAUUCGGAAUUACUGGGCGUAAAGGGCGCGUAGGCGGUUAUGCAAGUUAGAUGUGAAAUACCCGGGCUUAACCUGGGGGCUGCGUCUGAUACUGCAUGGCUAGAGUCCUGUAGAGGAAAGUGGAAUUUCCGGUGUAGCAGUGAAAUGCGUAGAUAUCGGAAGGAACAUCAGUGGCGAAGGCGACUUUCUGGACAGAGACUGACACUGAGGCACGAAAGCGUGGGGAGCAAACCGG